ACGAAGGGGGCUAGCGUUGUUCGGAUUUACUGGGCGUAAAGCGCACGUAGGCGGAUCGUUAAGUCGGGGGUGAAAUCCUGGAGCUCAACUCCAGAACUGCCUUCGAUACUGGCGAUCUUGAGUCCGGAAGAGGUGAGUGGAACUCCUAGUGUAGAGGUGGAAUUCGUAGAUAUUAGGAAGAACACCAGUGGCGAAGGCGGCUCACUGGUCCGGUACUGACGCUGAGGUGCGAAAGCGUGGGGAGCAAACAGG
rnacentral:rRNA from 1 species